AUCUAGCGAAGCUGCGUAAGGGAUAGUAACGGAAAUCCUUUUUUGCGCCGGCCUUGCGGUUGGAAAGAUUGGCUCCGCCGAACCACUACGUUAGGUUUGCAGCGGAUAGCCCGAGCCGAG
rnacentral:misc_RNA from 1 species